CUGAAAGGCAAAGAAAGGAAACAGAAUUUUGCAGGUGGGAGGUUAAGCAAGGUGAGGGCAUGGAGAGGGGCAGGAAGAAGCGCCGGAAGGUGUUGAGACAAUGUUGAAUAUGAGAUUUCUAGUUAAUGGCUCUGUGAUGCCAAAGUCUCCAGCAAAAUCCACUGUACUACACAUGUGCUUUUUUAAUUUGAUCUUAUUUGGAGAAGAAAAGAAAAUUACAGACAAAGGGUAUGUCCCACCUGCAGGUGAAUGCUGGGGAGGAAGGUGCAUCAAAGAAUACUGCAAAAUUCCAGGGACUCAGAGAGCCUUGGGAGAUGCAGGAAAAGGGCACCUUCUCUUAGUGCACGAAGAUGUCUUCGAGUUGGUCUCUUGCUGAAGAAAUUCAAGUGAAUAUGCUCUAAGAUUUGCAGCUGUCCUAGGGAGAAGGAGCAGGAAUGAUCCCAAUCAUCGCUUUGUUACUCUGGUAUACCUCAAGCUUCCCCAGGUGGCUAUCAAGAUUUAUAAGGUGAGGCAUGCUUACUUAAAAUUUAGAUAUGUUACUUCAUUAGUAUAUCUUAGUAAUAUUCAGC
rnacentral:lncRNA from 12 species